GAUGAACGCUGGCGGCGUGCCUAAUACAUGCAAGUCGAGCGAACAGAUGAGGAGCUUGCUCCUCUGACGUUAGCGGCGGACGGGUGAGUAACACGUGGAUAACCUACCUAUAAGACUGGGAUAACUUCGGGAAACCGGAGCUAAUACCGGAUAAUAUAUUGAACCGCAUGGUUCAAUAGUGAAAGACGGUUUUGCUGUCACUUAUAGAUGGAUCCGCGCCGCAUUAGCUAGUUGGUAAGGUAACGGCUUACCAAGGCAACGAUGCGUAGCCGACCUGAGAGGGUGAUCGGCCACACUGGAACUGAGACACGGUCCAGACUCCUACGGGAGGCAGCAGUAGGGAAUCUUCCGCAAAGGGCGAAAGCCUGGCGGAGCAACGCCGCGUGAGUGAUGAAGGUCUUCGGAUCGUAAAACUCUGUUAUUAGGGAAGAACAAAUGUGUAAGUAACUAUGCACGUCUUGACGGUACCUAAUCAGAAAGCCACGGCUAACUACGUG
rnacentral:rRNA from 1 species